rnacentral:tRNA from 1 species
GGAGCGUUGGCAGAGUGGUAAUGCAGCGGAUUGCUAAUCCGUCAACCCCUUAAAAGGCUGCAUAGGUUCGAGUCCUAUACGCUCCGCCA